UCCCCGUUGCGUGCCCCCGUCCUCAGCAAGAGCCGUUCCUUGGCUGUGAAUGGCCAGUAAACUGAAGCUUGGCCCCGUGGAGUCUCGCAAACCACCCUUAAAGAAUUGGAAUGUGCAGUUUGCCAUCUUUCCACCCUGCCUCCCUCCCCUUUCCGCUCAGGCAAAGCCACUUAAGGUAGAGGGGUAGAGAAAGGGUGUUCCUGUUGGUUGAGCAAAUGGAGAGGCUGAGGUCCAGAGGCCAGAUGUUUGCCCUGGCGGGGCACCGGGAAGCCAAUGCCCAAAGAAGACGUUGCCAGAUUAGGUGAGGUAUACGUGCUCCACUGAACAUACGGGGAAAUAGGCUGGAGAAGAACAGAUGUAAGGGUCUCAUAAUCCAGGCUAGCCUUGAACAUACCUGUGUAGCUGUUAUGGAGUUCAAGACCCCUGGGAAAAGACCAGAGGCUCAAGCUGGAUUAUAAUUGGUUAAAUUUCUUGAAGCUCAAAGCAAGACAGCCAUCUCUGAAUCAAACUAGAGACUGCCACUCGAAGUAGUGCGAGGGAAGGAUUUUUAAAGGCAGAAACCACAAGAAGACUUUGAGUAUCUGCACAAGCAAGCCAAGAGCUGUUCUGCUCUGCCAAGAUUCAAGGUGACCUCAAAAUAGUCCUUGACUGUCUGCCUAGGCAGGUUACAGAAGCCAAACAAACAGUUGUACAAGAAGAUGGUCGCGGCUGUACACUGCUGGGGGGGGGGGGCACUGGGUACCAAGAUGGAUGCCUAGCAUGAAUGGAGUAUGAUUUUUGUUGGUUUUGUUGUUGUUGUUGUUGUUGUUGUUUUCCCCUGGGUAGCCCUGGCUGUCCUGGAACUCACUCUGUGGUCCAAGCUGGCCUUGAACUCACAGAGAUCCACCUGCCUCUGCCUCCUGAGUGCUGGAAUUAAAGGCGUGUGCCGCCACCCAGCAAAAAUGAAUCUUUUAAUAAAUUAACAUAAAAUGUUAAGAUCACUAUAAUCCUAUGCUGUUAAAUAAUUCUAUAUUGUUAAAGACAAUAAAGGGCAGGGUUCUGUUGAGAAGCCCCUGCCCACGCGUGA